AUUGAACGCUAGCGGCAUGCCUUACACAUGCAAGUCGAACGGCAGCACGGGGCAACCUGGUGGCGAGUGGCGAACGGGUGAGUAAUGCAUCGGAACGUACCUUUCAGUGGGGGAUAACGUAGCGAAAGUUACGCUAAUACCGCAUAUUCUGUGAGCAGGAAAGCAGGGGAUCGCAAGACCUUGCGCUGAUUGAGCGGCCGAUGUCAGAUUAGCUAGUUGGUGAGGUAAAGGCUCACCAAGGCGGCGAUCUGUAGCGGGUCUGAGAGGAUGAUCCGCCACACUAGAACUGAGACACGGUCCAGACUCCUACGGGAGGCAGCAGUGGGGAAUUUUGGACAAUGGGGGCAACCCUGAUCCAGCCAUGCCGCGUGAGUGAAGAAGGCCUUCGGGUUGUAAAGCUCUUUCGGCCGGGAAGAAAUCGCACGGGCUAAUACCCUGUGUGGAUGACGGUACCGGAAUAAGAAGCACCGGCUAACUUCGUGCCAGCCGCCGCCGUAACAC
rnacentral:rRNA from 1 species